rnacentral:rRNA from 1 species
GUAGUCUGCAACUCGACUACAUGAAGCUGGAAUCGCUAGUAAUCGCAGAUCAGAAUGCUGCGGUGAAUACGUUCCCGGGUCUUGUACACACCGCCGUCACACCAUGGGAGUCGGAAAUGCCCGAAGCCGGUGACCCAAACCAAAAGGAGGGAGCCGUCGAAGGCAGGUCUGAUAACUGGGGUGAAGUCGUAACAAGGUAUC